rfam:Triticum aestivum genome assembly, contig: Triticum_aestivum_CS42_TGACv1_scaffold_160525_2DL
ACAGUACUCCCUCCGUCUGGAAAUACUUGUCAUUGAAAUGGGUGUAUCUAGAUGUAUUUUAGUUCUUGAUACAUCCAUUUUCAUCCAUUUUGAUGACAAGUAUUUUCAUCCAUUUUGAUGACAAGUAUUUCCGGACGGAGGGAGUACUAC